UGGAGGAACUUUUUUUUUUCCACUAGGAGGGCACUGAUUUUUGCUUGGGUCUAUAUGGCAGUGUCAUAUUUGAAGUUGUAAAAUAUCAAUUAUGGAUGCCAUGUACUAUCAAGGCUGCCCUCGAGGCACAUGACCAAAUAUCUAAAUCUUCAAGCCGGUGCUUUAGGAACCCUUCUGAGAUGGCACCGUAGUUCUUCACCAACAAAAUGGUUUAACAUUUAAGUUUAUUGAAGAUUACAUUUUAGCUGUACGUUGUACUUAUGCAUUUUAGCUUAGGGGACGACAAAGGCUGUUAGGCCCAAUGCAAGAAGCCUGGUCCUGUAUCAGUCAUCACUCAAACAGAUUUACAUUUAUGAACCGCAACUCUGACUGGUGUUGUCCCGCAGGCGACGUGAUCGUGAGUGUGAAUGAGACGUGCGUGCUGGGUCACACGCAGGCCCAGGUGGUGAAGAUCUUCCAGUCCAUCCGCACUGGAUCCACGGUGGACCUGGAGCUGUGCAGGGGUUACCCCUUACCCUUUGACCCCAACGACCCCAACACCAGCCUGAUGACCUUGGUGGCCGUCACAGCGCCGUCCGUCGUCGCCCGGCCCGAGCCAGAUACUGUUAAUGGCCACUUCUGUCACAGCCCAUAUAAAGUCUCCAUCGAUCCUGUGUUUAUACAGUAAGCUUUUGCAGACUGUCUGUAGUUUCGUUUUGCUCACUGGUUUUUAUUUGAAAACGGUGCAUCAUUUCUAAAUAAAUUAAAUACCAGCUAAACUUUCGGAUUCUGGGUUUGAUAUCUGCAAUGGAUUAGGUUUCAGUUUCCAUACUAAAUAGUACAACUGAUUUCUAGACACGUUCAGGAGGCCAAUGUCUCCUCAAGACUUUGUCUGUAUUCAUGUAAUUCUGAAAACACUAGAAUGCCAUCCGUUGUGAUAUCACGUUGGUAAACUGCGCCGUCUGGUUCUGGCGUUUUCUGUUGUAUUUUGCAUAUGGACUGGCCUGAUUAUGAAGACCUGCUGUAACAGUAGAUUUUCAAACGGAUGUGAAUGCCUGUAGCCUACCUUAAGCCAUCGUGCACUGUAAAUUAGCUAACGAAUUAUUUCAAAGCUGGUGUUCGAUUUAUUGUGAAAGUAUUUAAGACAUAUUAAUACAUUUAUUUUAAAUUAGGAGAUUUUAACGCUUCGUAAUUUCAUAUUUUAUUGACUUUAAAUCUUCACUAUCAGUUUGCUGGAAUUGUACCCUCAACUGGAUGUUUACACAGUACAUAUCUGCCAUCUGGUUUGAUGAAAUACGGGUGGGUAGGCAGCGUUUCGAAAUAAACUCUGCGCCAAACUAUAGUGACCAAAACCAUUUCCGGAGCCUCUAAGACGUUUGCGCGAUGCCUGUGCAGAUUCUGCUGCAAAACUGUCCACGUUGGUUUGAAAUAAGCAGCACCCAUUUUCUAGGGUACAAGGAAUAGAAAAAACUGUUUCGACCAACUCAAUCGUGCCAUCGUCCGAGGAAGGCGUGAUUUGUCUUCGAUUUAAACCAGUUAGGACAUAGCUUUUUCCACCCCAAUGCUGAAAUUUACAUUGACAAGUGAGCCGCUUUAAGAAGUGGCUUUCUGUGUAUUGUUUUUGUAAGCGUUAAUAUUUUCUUCUUGGUAUGAUUUGUCUGGGAUUUGCUCGGCCAAAGAUAAAAAGUACAAGAGGUGUCAACUGUUCAGCGCAGCAGCAAACAUUUCAGUCACAUGCUUUCAUCAGCGCUAGACCACCUGUUCUAAAGCACAACCUUUGAGUUCAACAAGCUUUGAGUCAGGAUAUUAUAAAGAGGAAUGGACUGUGUACGCAAACUCUGGAUCUUUGUUUGAAUCAUGUUUCUAAGGGAGGGCGUGUGCUUGCCAUUAGCUGGCGAAUAAGAUUCCAUUUGGACUAAUACGUCAGAGAGCUGACUGAACCAGGAAGAAUCGGGCUGGUGUAGAACUGCUGGCAGAUCAGCAAAUCAAACCUCAGUGGUACAAUGCUGCCCCCUGCAGGAAGUGCUGUCUCUGAUAAUCAGGCGUACAUAACAGGAAGAGGGAAGUACAGUUUCUCACAGAUGGAAGCUUUUGUUACAUCGGGGGCCUUUUAAUACGAUUUCAAUCUGUAUUUUCCAGAAAUACAGGAUUUUCUGAUAACAUAGACAGAGAAAAAAUGCCAAGACGAAGAGAGAUUUGAGUCUAAUUUUAAAGACAGUCCUUAGCUUCAGUUUGUUGUGACAGCUGAAAGUAAAAGUGAAACUAAACUACAAAUUUAGCAGAAGCCAUUACUGAGCUCAGAACAGACUGAGACAGAAUGGGCGCUGAAAAUUCUGCCCCGGUAGCAGCGGGACCGAUACCCAUAUGUUAUGUGUGCUCGAAAUUAUCCAAGGAUCCUGUUCUCCUGAGUUGUAAUCACAGCUUCUGUAAGGUCUGUCUGUGGCAGUACUGGGACCAGAAGGGAUCUCGGGAGUGCCCAGUCUGCAGGAGAAAAUCUUCUUUGGAUGUACCUCGCUCUAACUUCUGAGGAAUACCUGUGAGGCAUUGUAUAAGUCUGCUACGGGUCACUCCGCAAUUGGUGAAGAAGAGGAAGAGUGCGUUGUUUUCCCCCCAAUCCUCUUCUGCGGACCUGCCUGGCGGCCAAUGAGGGACAGACCCACACCUAUUUAUAGCGAAUAUGUCAGUUGCACCCCAGUGACUUGGAUUUGAAUUUUAGUUCACUCCUGUAUUACUAUUGUGACUUCGUGCUAUUUUGACUUCUGUGUAUCGAUCGUAAUUUCUGAAAAGACUUCGAGUUUGAGUUUGCGUCUCUGGUUUGGUUGCUGGUUUUGUGUAUAUAUAUAUUAGGAGUGGGAUUUAGGUAGGUGUUUGUUUUCUUAACUGUCACUGUUAGUUUCACUUGUGUAUAUGUAUAUAGAUACGGGCGUGUACCACCCUUGUAUGUUUUUGUUCAGUUUAGAAUAGUCAGUGUAGUUAGUUAGGUUCGGAAGAUUUUCGGGUUUCAGUUAGUUAGUUUCUUUCAUUUCUAGAAUUGUUAGUAGCUUAUUCAUUGUAUAGUAAAUCUCAUAAAAAACACGUUUUCAACGUACAAAAAUGCCAAGUUACUCAAAAGUAUUGAUAUCAAAAUGACGCCAAGUUACGGUAUUACAAACAAUAUAGGCUAUCUUGCCUCACCGAAAUGACAUAAGAUGUAUUUCAAAGCAAUGCUCCCCAAUAUUUCCUCAGUUCUUUCAAGUCACUUGGCCCUUAUGCAGUGGCGUAAGCGGAAACGCAUCAGAAACGCAGAUGAAAUAUGGUAUGUACUCACUGAUUUGACGUCCAUCCAACGAGCCUUGACUGUCAAAAGAAUCAACAAGCCCGUAGAAUUAUAACUCCCUAGGUCGCAACUUGUGUAGCCUUCUGUCCUGCUCCGUUGUCUGUUAUUUCGUGGAGAUGCACUUUUAGUGUUUGUAAGGUUUAUCCUUCUGUCCUGCUCCGUUGUCUGUUAUUUCGUGGAGAUGCACUUUUAGUGUUUGUAAGGUUUAUAAGGCAUUUUGAUAGGCUUAUCUGCAGGUAGGAAUCCUCUUCGCUGUUUUGCUAAACUAGAACCGGAAAACAUGAUAGUGGAUAAUAGGAGCAGACGCAUAUGUCCCAGCAGGCUUUGCAUAUGAGAGAAUAACAACAGUGUGAGAGAAAUUAAGAUGAAAUUACGAAAUUCCGUAGUUGAAACAAUAUGUUUUUAGCAGAAUGGGCAUGUAGGUGAAGGUUGACAUGAUCACGGAGUAUAGUGCGAAGUAAAUGGAGUGACCAUGAGCGAGCUUCUUAUCAAAUGGUAUAUAUAACAGUCUGUAUUGAACGUUAGUUGUUGAAGUGGAGGGUUAAAUAACAUUACGUAACAUUACAGGCAAAUGUAACCUGUUUUGUUUCCUCUGUCUCCCAAAACAGGUUGCUGCCGAUGUCCUCCCUGACGUCUGAGAGAGUCCUCUACGGUCCCCGAGAGGGACUAAAGACAAUGGAGCUCCAGCGUCAGUGGGGGAUCAUUAACACCGUCCGGCAGGUCCUGUGGGAGACAAGAAACAUCAGUGGACCUGGUCACUCUCCGGAGGAGGAUUCAAAACCUCCUCCAGGACGGCGUUUUGGUGGACUUUUGAAAAAACAAGGACCUGGCGAGAGAGAAAUGGGGGGUGGACCACUGGAAAGAACUGAUCAUAUAGUCCACCCCCCCAGGAGGGGCACUCGCUCUGCACACCAACCCGAGCGCACGUAUUUUUGAUUACUUUUUUAAAGUGUAUAGUAUUGUAAAUUAUUGUAAAUAUUCUUAAAAUAAUUUUGUGCUGUGUUUAUUAGUUAAAGUAUAGGUAGGCUGUUUUGUAUUAGGUUUCCUUUUUCUGAGUGUCUUGAUUUUUUUUUUGAAAAUUUAGGGAAUGUCUAUGUUUAAAUGUAUUUUGAGUUCCUUUUUGACUUCUUAAAAGGAAUACGUUUUAAAAAAUGUAAAAUGUCUGUUAAAAACCAUUAAAGAUACAUUACAGGCAAAUAACGUGUGCAAGCUAUUGCAUUAAUGUGUUUUUCUCAUGUUCAGUGCUAGUAGUUAUACUUAUGAGUGAAUCGUGAUUUUAAAUGUAAUGUUUUAAUGCGGAGUUGCAGAACGUACAUGCGUAGUAAUUGUGUGUAGCCUAUGUGGCUAGAUAGAGAACAGGGCGAGGUAACAUGAAUGUAGAAACGUGGCGUUUGCUGAUAUGAAGGUUUUGUACGGUAGCCAAGUGAAGACAUAUAGUUAGUAGAAAUGGCACAGUGGUGAACUGGUGUAACUUUUUAAUAAAAGGAAUACAUUUGCCGACAUGAAAUGCAUAUGGGUGGCCGUGAGUGAGUUUUGGUAAAGCAAAUAUAAGCGUAAGAAAACGUUAGUGUAAAAGAGGAAAUGAUCUGCCUGAGGGCGAGUCGGGAUUCAAGCCUCAAACCGGAGGUUUACCAGUCUGUGCAUUGCUAUGGCAUGUCAGCACCAUGCCAUAGCAAUGCAAUGCGUGAAAUAUCAUUAGCGAACCUGCCGGUGGUUUUAAAGAACACAGGCCAGUAAGCACAGAAGAGCUCCCGUUGAAUCCAUAUGGCUUAGCAAUAUUGUAGCCGGUUAAUAACUGAACGUACAGACGGUAAGUCAUAAUGCAUAUGGCUUAGCAAUAUUGUAGCCGGUUAAUAACUGAACGGUGAACGGCGGGUAGAUAUGGUGCAAAAGCAAUAAUUGAUAAGUAGGCUAAUAAACAAUUAUUAAUGAGGGUUGAAGCAGGUUAACGAAACGUGUUCCUAGCUGGGCUUGAACCUACGACCCCGUGUUCCAAAGACUGUAACCUUGCACACUAGGCCACAGGCAGACUAGCUGUUGAAACUGGGAAUGUUUCAGAGUAAAAAUGUAUGGGUAUUUUGCGUGUGUCUGCGCGUUUUUGAUUGGGUCGUGUAGGUGCAGAUUUGGCUGGUGUCAGUGAAAUGUCCAAUGGGGAGACGUUGUUAGUGGGAUAAGCGGCAGGAAAAAUAAGAAUGAGAAGAAGAAGAAGAAAGAGAAGAAGAAGAAGGAGAAAACGCAAAAUCCCCUUAGUUUGGGGCUUUAUUGUGUGGACAUGUGAAGUUGUUUAUGAAUUCUGUCUGUUGAAAUGGGGUCAGAAUGUACAGAAUUUAAUGUUUUUAAGGGCUGAGUGUCUGUGGCUGUUGUGGUUAUUUCUGUGGGGAACCCUGAAAAGUGCCAAACUCUCGGUGCUGUAUAGGUAUGGGGCAUGCCCCCGCCAAGGCGUAACUUGGCGGGAUGGCAUACCUGCCAUCCCGAUCCCAAUUAAUUGUAAAUAAAAUUAAUCUUUAAUAAUCAUUCAUUUUGUUACUCCCCUGUACCCCUAGACCACAAUGGGGACGUAACAGUGUAUGUUACUAUGUUGUAGAACUGCGACUGAGUUUUUAUUCUGCUUUUUAUGCGCAAUAAACAGAGUCGUUUGCUUUCUUGAA